rnacentral:rRNA from 1 species
UAGGGAAUCUUCCACAAUGGACGAAAGUCUGAUGGAGCAACGCCGCGUGAGUGAAGAAGGUUUUCGGAUCGUAAAACUCUGUUGUAAGGGAAGAACAAGUGCAGUAGUAACUGGCUGCACCUUGACGGUACCUUAUUAGAAAGCCACGGCUAACUACGUGCCAGCAGCCGCGGUAAUACGUAGGUGGCAAGCGUUGUCCGGAUUUAUUGGGCGUAAAGCGCGCGCAGGCGGUCCUUUAAGUCUGAUGUGAAAGCCCACGGCUCAACCGUGGAGGGUCAUUGGAAACUGGAGGACUUGAGUGCAGAAGAGGAAAGUGGAAUUCCAAGUGUAGCGGUGAAAUGCGUAGAGAUUUGGAGGAACACCAGUGGCGAAGGCGACUUUCUGGUCUGUAACUGACGCUGAGGCGCGAAAGCGUGGGGAGCAAACAGGAUUAGAUACCCUGGUAGUCCACGCCGUAAACGAUGAGUGCUAAGUGUUAGGGGGUUCGCCCUUAGUGCUGCA